rnacentral:tRNA from 1 species
UCCAUUUUAGUCUAGCUGGUUAGGAUACUUGGCUCUCACCCGAGAGACCUGGGUUUGAGUCCCGGCGACAGAA